CGCUCAUCGACAACGCUCUCAGCAAGAAACCGCAGGUAGUAACGAUCGAGGCGACCGACAAGGCAUUCAAGACCCACGGCUGCCAGCCCUGGCAGAACACGGGCGGCGAAGGUGGUGCACCGGCUGAACUCCCCGGACCUGCCGCAGAAGCGCAACUACAAAACGAACUCGCCAUCCUCAACGGGCUACUCGGACCGACCGGAGGGCGAGUG
rnacentral:ncRNA from 1 species